rnacentral:rRNA from 1 species
GACGAACGCUGGCGGCAUGCCUAACACAUGCAAGUCGAACGAGACCUCCGGGCCUAUUGGCGCUCGUCGGCGUAACGCGUGGGAACCUGCCCUUAGGUUCGGUAUAACUCCCCGUGAGGGGUCCUAAUACCGGAUAAUGUCUUCGGACCUAAGAUUUAUCGCCUUUGGAUGGGCCCGCGUUGGAUUAGCUAGUUGGUAGUGUAAAAGCCUACCAUGGCGACGAUCCAUGGCUGGUCGGAGAGGAUGAUCAGUCACACUGGGACUGAGACACGGCCCAGACUCCUACGCGAGGGAGCAGUGGGGAAUAUAGUACAAUGGGCGAAAGUCUGACCAAGCCAUGCCGGGGGAGUGAUGCAGGGCGUAGGGUUGCAAAGCUCCUUUAGCCGGGACGAUAAUGACAGUAACGGGAGAAGAAGCACCGGCUAACUACGUG